ensembl:snRNA U6 U6 spliceosomal RNA
GCCUGCUUCAGAAGGACAUAUAUUAAAAUUGGAAUGAUACAGAGAAGACUAGCAUGGCCUCUGCACAAGAACGACCUGAAAAUUUGUGGAGCAUUCCAUAAUUUU